AUACCGCGAGGUGGAGCAAAUCUAUAAAAUAUGUCCCAGUUCGGAUUGUUCUCUGCAACUCGAGAGCAUGAAGCCGGAAUCGCUAGUAAUCGUAGAUCAGCCAUGCUACGGUGAAUACGUUCCCGGGUCUUGUACUCACCGCCCGUCACACCAUGGGAGUUGAUUUCACUCGAAGCCGGAAUACUAAACUAGUUACCGUCCACAGUGGAAUCAGCGACUGGGGUGAAGUCGUAACAAGGUAACCGUAGGAGAACCUGCGGUUGGAUCACCUCCUUUCUAG
rnacentral:rRNA from 1 species